UACGGAGGAUCCGAGCGUUAUCCGGAUUUAUUGGGUUUAAAGGGAGCGUAGAUGGAUGUUUAAGUCAGUUGUGAAAGUUUGCGGCUCAACCGUAAAAUUGCAGUUGAUACUGGAUAUCUUGAGUGCAGUUGAGGCAGGCGGAAUUCGUGGUGUAGCGGUGAAAUGCUUAGAUAUCACGAAGAACUCCGAUUGCGAAGGCAGCCUGCUAAGCUGCAACUGACAUUGAGGCUCGAAAGUGUGGGUAUCAAACAGG
rnacentral:ncRNA from 4 species